UACGGAGGGUGCAAGCGUUAAUCGGAAUUACUGGGCGUAAAGCGCACGCAGGCGGUUUGUUAAGUCAGAUGUGAAAUCCCCGAGCUUAACUUGGGAACUGCAUUUGAAACUGGCAAGCUAGAGUCUUGUAGAGGGGGGUAGGAUUCCAGGUGUAGCGGUGAAAUGCGUAGAGAUCUGGAGGAAUACCGGUGGCGAAGGCGGCCCCCUGGACAAAGACUGACGCUCAGGUGCGAAAGCGUGGGGAGCAAACAGG
rnacentral:rRNA from 1 species